rnacentral:rRNA from 1 species
UACGGAGGGUGCAAGCGUUAAUCGGAAUUACUGGGCGUAAAGCGUGCGUAGGCGGUUCGUUAAGUCUGCUGUGAAAGCCCCGGGCUCAACCUGGGAAUGGCAGUGGAUACUGGCGAGCUGGAGUGUGAUAGAGGAUGGUGGAAUUCCCGGUGUAGCGGUGAAAUGCGUAGAGAUCGGGAGGAACAUCAGUGGCGAAGGCGGCCAUCUGGAUCAACACUGACGCUGAGGCACGAAAGCGUGGGGAGCAAACAGG